GCCUAUAGCUCAGUCGGUUAGAGCGCUGUCCUGAUAAGACAGAGGUCGCUGGUUCAAGUCCAGCUAGGCCC
rnacentral:tRNA from 4 species